GACUAAUUAAAACUGUAGUGGUAGAGUGCGACACUAGUACUUGGUCAUGUCGAAGUCAUCUGUUCGAAUCAGAUAGGGGGCA